GUAAAACCAAAAUACCUUUGGAUACUAUAACACAGACAUUUUAAUCCAAAGAUUACGGCGUUAAAAUACAUCUACAAACUGCAGGAACAGGGAAUGUUUCAAAUGGAGAUGGAGGCAUCAUCAGCACAGCAGGAGGAGAGCAGUCCAGUGAGCUCAGCUGGUUGAUUUCUCCUCCUUCCCAGAGAAAAACAGAAGAAAAUAUACAAGUGGUUUGAACAAGAAGCUGUUGAAAGAAGAAGAAAGAAGCAGGAAGAAAGGACUUUGUGGUUUUCUUCCCCAUCCUGUUCCACAAGUUUUCCAUAUUUCAGGUGGUAAGUGCUAACUGCACAAUGACAUGCUUUGGUGCUGGAUGCUGAGCUCCCAAACUCUGGGGCUUGGGGUCUCCAGGGCAGCUCCUUGGUUUUCACUCCAGAGAGUCAAACUGUGAGCAAAGAGCCCAUUUCAUCCUUUGCAUUUUGUGCUGGCUGAAAAUGCCAUCAGCUCAGUCACUGCAUUAGCAGUAAGU